rnacentral:rRNA from 1 species
UACGAAGGGGGCUAGCGUUGUUCGGAAUUACUGGGCGUAAAGCGCGCGCAGGCGGUCUUCCAAGUCAGUGGUGAAAGCCCGGAGCUCAACUCCGGAACUGCCAUUGAAACUGUGAGACUUGAGGAUGAGAGAGGUGAGUGGAAUUCCCAGUGUAGAGGUGAAAUUCGUAGAUAUUGGGAAGAACACCGGUGGCGAAGGCGGCUCACUGGCUCAUUUCUGACGCUCAGGCGCGACAGCGUGGGGAUCGAAAACAG